rnacentral:siRNA from 1 species
CUUACCGUACUAUAGAUAAAUAGU